GGCGGAUGUAGCCAAGUGGAUCCAGGCAGUGGAUUGUGAAUCCACCAUGCG
rnacentral:tRNA from 1 species